UUUAACUAAAAUUUACAAUAUGUUAAUAUAUAUAUUGGAUUAUUGGUUUGGUUCUGUUUGAACCCAAACCAAACCAAACCAUUCGGGUUGAGUAAAACGUGAACCAAUUGGGUUAUGUAAAGAGCACGGUUUGGUUUGGAUCGGUUUAACUUCGGUUGGUUUGGUUUGGAUCGGUUCGGUUUGGGUUUUUUGCCCACCCCUAGGUUGUACACCUAUCACCAAGCUGUUGGUUUAAAUUUGUAAAGAAGAAUGAAAAGUCAUUUAUCAUUUUAAAACUAUUUUUUUUUCCUCUUAGAAACUUUAAUGAAAAUUUGGUUGUAUAACCAACAAAAAAAUUGUGAUUCAAAAACUAACUAUUUUACCUAAAAUGAUAGAGUGCACAACAUAUUUUAUAUAUAAUUGCUAUUUUGUCCUUCUAAACAACCUGUAUAACCUCCUAAAAAUGUAUAUUAAAAUAAUUAUUAGAUAAUGUAUUUAUUAUGUCGUGUCUUAUUAUUCUUCGCAUGUUUAUAUAUCAUUAGGUGAUGAAAAGGUGAAGCCACAAAGACAUCGGUUCUUCUCCUUCAUUAUUCUAUAAAUUUCACCUCUGAUCAUUACGCCACGAUCACCUUCGUCUGUAUAAUCAAACCAUCACCGCACACCAUUAAUUAUUUUACUCUUCGCAACCCGUUUCUUCCACUUAAACACCUGAUGUUCCGCCGCCAUUAUUUCUUCCAUUUGAGGAGAAAAGCGAUCCAACUUGACAUUGUGAAAGAUUGUGCAUCUGAAUGGAGGAAACAAGUUUGGAGGUACCAGUGGUGAAGGUGGUGCGUAUUUUCGCAAUGGAAGGGAUAAUAGCUCAUGAGAUUUUAGGUCUAUUCUAGUUUUUUUUUUUUUUGAAACAGUCUAUUCUAUUUGCUACUUUCAAAUAUUUGUAGUAUAGUAAUCUUAGACUAUUUUCUAAUUUUACUAAUAGAUUAUAAUAUUUAUUUAUUUCAUUCCAUUUGCGGAUUAAGCAUAAGUGUUUUACUAUGUUUAAGAUUACAGUUUGUAAUAUGUUUAUGAACAUUUGUAAUUUUUAAUGAAACAAAGUCGUAUUAUUUGAUCA